GGCAGAAGGGAGGCAGGGGCAUUAAGAGCUCAGGCCUCCAGCUGAGGGACUGCAGAUGUUGGGUAAGCUGACCCUGGAAUUAACAGGCUCACACCUUGGAGGGGGCAGUCCCAUAGCAGGCUCCCACCCUGCCCUUCAGAGUUGCAGCAGGUAAUGCUGAUGCCAGAACCUUGUCCUGACAGGAAGCCUCUGAUUAGGGCCCUGAACCAAGUUCCUUUUCGCAUCUGCAGACUCAUGGAGGCAACCACUCAAGGUCACUCUGAGAAGGGUUGAACGUGCUUUAUUAAAAGGACUGAGGAUCAUGUGUGUUGGUGUGUCCCGGAGUCUGCUCUAAGGUAAAUAUGUGUGUGUGUGUGUUGGGGGGGCAGGGGUUGUGCCUGUAAUCCUGUGUGUGUGACCUCCUUAUUAGAGGAUUUUUGUUCAUUAAAGUAGGAGUGUGAA
rnacentral:lncRNA from 1 species